AUUGAACGCUGGCGGCAGGCUUAACACAUGCAAGUCGAGCGGGGUGAUGGUGCUUGCACUAUCACUUAGCGGCGGACGGGUGAGUAAUGCUUAGGAAUCUGCCUAUUAGUGGGGGACAACAUCUCGAAAGGGAUGCUAAUACCGCAUACGUCCUACGGGAGAAAGCAGGGGAUCACUUGUGACCUUUCGCUAAUAGAUGAGCCUAAGUCGGAUUAGCUAGUUGGUGGGGUAAAGGCCUACCAAGGCGACGAUCUGUAGCGGGUCUGCGAGGAAGAUCCGCCACACUGGGACUGAGACACGGCCCAGACUCCUACGGGAGGAAGCAGUGGGGAAUAUUGGACAAUGGGGGGAACCCUGAUCAAGCCAUGCCGCGUGUGUGAAGAAGGCCUUAUGGUUGUAAAGCACUUUAAGCGAGGAGGAGGCUCUUUUGGUUAAUACCCAAGAUGAGUGGAUGUUACUCGCAGAAUAAGCACCGGCUAACUCUGUGCCAGCCGCCGCGGUAA
rnacentral:rRNA from 1 species